CGGGGGGCAGCAGUAAGGAAUAUUGGUCAAUGGACGCAAGUCUGAACCAGCCAUGCCGCGUGCAGGAUGACGGCCCUCUGGGUUGUAAACUGCUUUUAUCUGGGACGAAAAACGGACUUUCUAGUUCACUUGACGGUACCAGAGGAAUAAGCACCGGCUAACUCCGUGCCAGCAGCCGCGGUAAUACGGAGGGUGCAAGCGUUAUCCGGAUUUACUGGGUUUAAAGGGUGCGUAGGUGGGUAGGUAAGUCAGUGGUGAAAUCUUCAAGCUUAACUUGGAAACUGCCAUUGAUACUAUUUAUCUUGAAUUAUCUGGAGGUAAGCGGAAUAUGUCAUGUAGCGGUGAAAUGCUUAGAUAUGACAUAGAACACCCAUUGCGAAGGCAGCUUACUACGGAUAUAUUGACACUGAGGCACGAAAGCGUGGGGAUCAAACAGGAUUAGAUACCCCGGU
rnacentral:rRNA from 1 species